rnacentral:rRNA from 1 species
AACGAACGCUGGCGGCAGGCCUAACACAUGCAAGUCGAACGCAUGCCUUCGGGCAUGAGUUGCAGACGGGGGAGUAACGCGUGGUAACCUACCCCUUGCUACGGGAUAGCUCCGGGAAACUGGCGAUAAUACCGUAUGUUUCCUGAGGCACAAAGAUUCAUCGCCAAGGGAUGGGGCCGAGCCGGCUCUGCUAGUUGAUGGGGGAACGGCCUACCAAGGCGAGGAUCCGUAGCCGGGCUAAGAGGAUGAUCCGAGACAUUUGGACUGAGACACGGUCCAAAAUCCUACGGGAGGGGGCAGAGGGGGAUAUUGGACAGCCGGCGCAAGGCAGAACCAGCCAUGACGCGUGAGUGAUGAAGGCCGGAGGGUUGUAAAGCUAUUUAACCGGUGACGAUAAUGACGGUAACCGGAGAAGAAGCCCCGGCUAACUUCGUG